rnacentral:rRNA from 1 species
CGUAAGGCGCCGAAUGAGUCAUUAAAAAAUUAACAUCAUCCGAUCCCUAGUCGGCAUAGUUUAUGGUUAAGACUACGACGGUAUCUGAUCGUCUUCGAUCCCCUAACUUUCGUUCUUGAUUAAUGAAAACAUCCUUGGCAAACGCUUUCGCAGUAGUUAGUCUUCAAUAAAUCCAAGAAUUUCACCUCUGACAAUUGAAUACUAAUGCCCCCAAUAUCCCUAAUUAAUCAUUACGUCAAUCCUAGAAACCAACAAAAUAGGAUCGAACGUCCUAUUCAUUAUUCCAUGCUAAUGUAUUCAAGCGUUAAGCCUGCUUUAAACACUCUAA